rnacentral:rRNA from 1 species
GAAUAUUGGACAAUGGGGGCAACCCUGAUCCAGCCAUGCCGCGUGUGUGAAGAAGGUCUUCGGUUUGUAAAGCACUUUAAGUUGGGAGGAAGGGCUUUAGGCUAAUACCCUGAAGUUUUGACGUUACCAAAAGAAUAAGAACCGGUUAACUCUGUGCCAGCAGCCCCGGUAAUACAAAGGGUGCAAGCUUUAAUCGGAAUUACUGGGCGUAAAGCGCGCGUAGGUUGUUCAGUAAGAUGGGUGUGAAAGCCCCGGGCUUAACCUGGGAACUGCUUUCAUAACUGCUGAGCUAGAGUACGGUAGAGGGUAGUGGAAUUUCCUGUGUAGCGGUGAAAUGCGUAGAUAUAGGAAGGAACACCGGUGGCGAAGGCGACUACCUGGACUGAUACUGACACUGAGGUGCGAAAGCGUGGGGAGCAAACA